CCCUGUUCCCGGAAUCGCAUUGAAAAGUGUAACCCUCCUGACUGGAGGCACUUACUUUAACUCAUUAAAUCCAAAAGUCGUUUAUGAGGGAUACCUUAUAAAUUCCUUGUCUCCGGACUACUCUUGAUUGAGGAUUGGUAGAGCUAGAGUGCUGCGUGUUAUGAUACUAAGGUAACGAUAGAGUCGGUCUCGCAAGAAGGGUUUUACCCUCGCCAAAGUUAACAGUUGUGGCAUAACUGGAACCAAAGUGGUAUGCCAAAUAAGAGAUUUCUCGUGAUGUCCAAGUGAUUGGGCUAUAAGAUUUUAUCGGAUCUUUUUCCUUAAGAGGCAGUUUACAAUAACUAUUGGUGUGUUAAGGAAAAAGCGGGUCUGCCAAUGACGCCCGGGACUAGAAAUGCGGUGAGAGUAACCAGUGUCGCUAACUGGGGCAUUCUCUCAUCAUCCUGUGACUGAGUAAGUAGCAAUAACAAUGACGUGGUAGGGGUAACGCCCCAAUGCUUUUAUGGAGAGGU
rnacentral:ncRNA from 1 species